CACAGAAACAGGCAGUGUGACAUUCCCGCCGUACCCUUGCUCUUCAUUAAAGUCUUGGAUAUGCAGCCUGUGCCUGCUGAGUUUUCAGGGCUGGAUGUAAGCUUCAGGAGGACCAACCGGAGAGGGUUGUGCACCCGGAUCCUGCUGGUAUGGCUGGAAAUAUGCACUACCAUGAUGUCCGUGGGAGACGACACCUGCUUAAUUACGCCCACACCUGGAUCUGUAUGCUCAGGAUCCUUAGGAAGGUUAAAAACCAGCAAGACUGAUGUCAGCCUACAAACAGCUCUGAGAACAUGAACAAUAGCCGUGAAAACCAUGAACCGGCCUGUUUAUAUCUAUUGUAUGCUUGCUUGGAUGCAUAAGGAUUAUUUGAAGGGAAUUGUUUUGUUCUGCUGCGUACCGUCUUAGUAAAUGAAUCUGGAUAAC